UACGGGGGGGGCAAGCGUUGUUCGGAAUUACUGGGCGUAAAGGGCUUGUAGGUGGCCAACUAAGUCAGACGUGAAAUCCCUCGGCUUAACCGGGGAACUGCGUCUGAUACUGGAUGGCUUGAGUUUGGGAGAGGGACGCGGAAUUCCAGGUGUAGCGGUGAAAUGCGUAGAUAUCUGGAGGAACACCGGUGGCGAAGGCGGCGUCCUGGACCAAUACUGACACUGAAAAGCGAAAGCCAGGGGAGCAAACGGG
rnacentral:rRNA from 1 species